rnacentral:rRNA from 1 species
AUUGAACGCUGGCGGCAGGCCUAACACAUGCAAGUCGAACGAGUGGCGGACGGGUGAGUAAUGUCUGGGAAACUGCCUGAUGGGGGGGGAUAACUACUGGAAACGGUAGCUAAUACCGCAUACCAUGGGCAGUGCCCAUAUGUGAUUAGCUAGUAGGUGGGGUAAAGGCUCACCUAGGCGACGAUCCCUAGCUGGUCUGAGAGGAUGACUAGCCACACUGUAACGGAGAAACGGUCCAGACUCCUACGGGAGGCAGCAUUGGGAAAUAUUGCACAAUGGGCGCAAGCCUGAUGCAGCCAUGCCGCGUGUAUGAGGAAGGCCUUCGGGUUGUAAAGUACUUUCAGCGGGGAGGCGUUACCCACAGAAGAAGCACCGGCUAACUCCGUGCCAGCCGCCGCGGUAAUUC